AGGAUUUUUUUUGAGAUAAAUUGUCUUCUUCUUCAAGAACAGCGGCAGAUUGAUUGUUUUUAGCAAAAAGUUUCUUUAUCUUAUCAGUAGCUUUCUUUUCUAAGAACACGAGGCCACCAUACUUUUCCUCCUUUCUUCUCCAUCAUGAAAACACUCAUAACUUCACCUUUUGUUCCUCCAAAACACCACCAUUUACAGCUGAAAAAGGCAGCAAAAUAGCCAUGAAAACCAAGCAGAAAACCAGUUAAAACUCACCCCAAAUUAGCCCCAAAAUUCGACCCAAAACAGUCCAGAAAUCAAAUCCAAACAUAUCUGAAAAUCUGUUCAGAAAUCGCCUAAAAUUCAGCUUUAAAACCCCAGAAAUAACUAUCAAAUCACCAUUCUUGAGCUUCGUCAAAGCUCCGGUUGAGUUCAGUUUGUCAAGGUCUCGUUCGCUGGCCCUUGUUUGAGUUCGAACGGCAGAAGACAAAACAAAAAAAAAACAAGAAAUUAAAGUUUUGCCAAAUUAAGGAAUCCUAUCCACACUUAUUCAAACUUGAUCUUGCAGUUUCUGCUGCUCUAUUGACUUGUACUCUCUAGGUGGACACCUGAUUUUCAGCACUUGAACUGUUUUUCCUCGAAACUUGGACUGCUUCCUUUUGUUCUCCAGGUGAGCGCCUGAUUAUGAAUACUUGAAUUGUUUUCC